GGUGCUGGGGCUUUCCGUGCUGUGCUGGACCGCGUGUGGAUGCAAGGGCUCUCUUUCUCUCUCAUUAUUUGAGUGACUGCAGGUAUUGGUGACUGGUCUCUGAGCCUCGCUCUGAGCGCGCGUGGCGAGUGUGUGUGUGUGUCUAUGUUGCGUGUGUGUGUGGGGAGUGCACCGGAGAGAUAAAGAGAGAGAGAGAGAAAAGCGAGGAGCAGCGUUUCAUCUCCCCCCUCUGGCCUCCCCGUCUCCCUGCUCCCUGUCACUCCGUCCCUCCUCCUCCUCUUCCUCCCUCCCGGACCACCCGUCUCCUACUCGGAUCUCGACCCGGACCCUCCACCCACCUCCACCCUUUGACUCUCCUCUCUCUUCACCAUCCCGCCUCAUCAGCUGAGCAGAAUUUAUUCCUGGAUGAAGUUGAAGUUGGAUUCCUCUCACUAAUCCAGCAGAAUUCAACAGAUUCUUCACAAUACACACCUGACUAAAGUGGAACUCUAAUGCACACAUUUCACUAAGGAAGCAGUGUGAUCGCAUCUGGUGGAGCUGCUUUGGACAGACGGAAUCCUCCCAGUAUUCUGGAAGUGUGACAGCAUUUGGUCACAUGACCUGGAAGAGUAAACCCGAGAGUUUUUUGGGAUCCCUAUUUGAAUGGGCCGGUUAUCAACCUGGAAACGCGUGUAAAGGCUGAUGAACUGAUCAACCGAGGCAGACAGCUGCUCUCCUCCGCUCUCCUCCUCUGCCCUCUCACUCUGUCCAGCCAGCCAGUCUCUUCAUUUAUGCCCUGAGAUCCGCAACCCUGUUUCACUCAGGUUGGCUGCCAUACCAUCACUCUCUUCCUUUUCCCGGGGAUUUCCUGUCACGUGACCACGCUCCUGCCUCACCUCCACUCCCCA